rnacentral:rRNA from 1 species
GUGGGGAAUUGUUCGCAAUGGGCGCAAGCCUGACGACGCAACGCCGCGUGGGGGAUGAAGGUCUUCGGAUUGUAAACCCCUGUUGAUCGGGAAGAAUACCUCUGGGGCGAAUACCCCCGGGGGCUGACGGUACCGGUUGAGGAAGCCCCGGCUAACUCUGUGCCAGCAGCCGCGGUAAUACAGAGGGGGCAAGCGUUGUUCGGAAUUACUGGGCGUAAAGGGCGCGUAGGCGGCCAUUUAAGUCAGACGUGAAAUCCCCGGGCUUAACCCGGGAACUGCGUCUGAGACUGAGUGGCUUGAGUUCGGGAGAGGGAAGUGGAAUUCCAGGUGUAGCGGUGAAAUGCGUAGAUAUCUGGAGGAACACCGGUGGCGAAGGCGGCUUCCUGGACCGAAACUGACGCUGAGGCGCGAAAGCCAGGGGAGCAAACGGGAUUAGAUACCCGGGUAGUCC